GUGGGGAAUAUUGGACAAUGGGCGAAAGCCUGAUCCAGCCAUGCCGCGUGUGUGAAGAAGGUCUUCGGAUUGUAAAGCACUUUAAGUUGGGAGGAAGGGCAGUAAGUUAAUACCUUGCUGUUUUGACGUUACCGACAGAAUAAGCACCGGCUAACUUCGUGCCAGCAGCCGCGGUAAUACGAAGGGUGCAAGCGUUAAUCGGAAUUACUGGGCGUAAAGCGAGCGUAGGUGGUUUUGUAAGUUGGAGGUGAAAUCCCCGGGCUCAACCUGGGAACUGCCUCCAAAACUGCAUGACUAGAGUACGGUAGAGGGUAGUGGAAUUUCCUGUGUAGCGGUGAAAUGCGUAGAUAUAGGAAGGAACACCAGUGGCGAAGGCGACUACCUGGACUGAUACUGACACUGAGGUGCGAAAGCGUGGGGAGCAAACAGGAUUAGAAACCCGUGUAGUCC
rnacentral:rRNA from 1 species